GGGGACGAUCUGGUUUCGACGGAAUCAGAGACGCUGAGGAACGCGUGCCCAGGUACUCGGAUCCUGGUGAAUCCUCCGGGAAAACGAAUAAGUGGCGAAUAUAACUACGCCCUGGCUGCCUAAGAGCAGCCCGUGCCCCAGAUUCCGCGCCUGCCGGGAAUCUGACGGUGCGUCGACUUCAGGCGGGCUGGUCCAAUACCCCUCCCGAGGGUUGAGGACGAGACAGAAUCGGGAUAGGUCCGCGUCAUCCCUGUCUGCCGGGCAGCGCGGCUGAAACUGAAAGACAGACUACGCACGUAGCGGGGCUUCAGGAUCCUGUUUUCGGACGCGGGUUCGAUUCCCGCCGUCUCCACUA
rnacentral:tmRNA from 1 species